AUGGGUGUGAGGAUCAUCUUUAUUCUGCAGGAUGCUGCUUUGGUUCGUUUGGCUUUGCAUGCACUGCAUGGUGUCAAAUCAUCGCUAGAUGAGAUUGACGAGCUUUCUGUGUUGUUCUCCUCAAGUCCGGCAGACAGGACAUCUCAUCGCAUUGCAAAUGUGUGGUCACGGUCAUCUAGCACUGCCUCUAUUGGACAUAUUCUCAGUUCUAUAGGCUCUACAGGUCUUGCAGUUUUCUUCUUGCGCAAGUUUGUGCACUAUUAUCUUUUCCAAAGUCGAGAAGUAAAUUGUGGAAAUAGAGAAGGACAUGGACAUGAUGUUUCUGAUGACAAAGACACUGAGCAUUCUCCUCCUUAUAGUCUAGUGAACCAAGCAUUUGCUGCAGCAGUUGAAAAAGUUCUAGAAGGCUAUUUCUGUUCCUUGAAUACUUUACCACCUUCAGUUAAGCUGAGGCGGUCAGUGGGACAACCUGAUAGACCUUCCAUGACCUCAGAUAGAGCUAGUUGUAAUUCUAGCUCUGAAAUCACUCUUCUGGAAGUUUAUCUCCACACCGAGGAGUUGAGAAGGCAUAUUAAGUCCCUUGGAAAUAUUUGUUUUCCUAAGUUUGCAGGUCUUGCAUUAUGCCAGGAGGGUUUGACUACUGAUUCUAACUUGGAGUUUGAGAAUUUUCCGCGGGGCACUGAUUUGCUUUCUUAUUUGUAUGUCCGCCUUCGUGUAAGCAAUCAUCUUAUUGUUUAA
rnacentral:rRNA from 1 species